rnacentral:rRNA from 1 species
UACGUAGGGUGCGAGCGUUAAUCGGAAUUACUGGGCGUAAAGCGUGCGCAGGCGGUUCGUCGUGUCUGAUGUGAAAGCCCCGGGCUCAACCUGGGAAUGGCAUUGGAAACUGGCGGACUAGAGUGUGGCAGAGGGGGGUGGAAUUCCGCGUGUAGCAGUGAAAUGCGUAGAGAUGCGGAGGAACACCGAUGGCGAAGGCAGCCCCCUGGGCUAACACUGACGCUCAGACACGAAAGCGUGGGUAGCAAACAGG